UCAUAGGUUUGUUUUCCUGACUUGCCUGCUAUUUGUAUGUGAGCUGCUAUGUUUUUAGUACACAACAGCAUAGGCAUGAAUGCAUACAAAUAUUUUUGUUCAUUUGUUCCAAGACGGUCUGUGAAAAAUGGUAGAUUCCUAAAAGCUAAUUACAGUGAGCUUCCAAAGCAACUGGUUUGUUGAGUUACUAACUGAAAAAUCAACACAACCUGUCUAUAAAUGAUUCUGAAAAGCACAAAUAUAAAUGCAAGUAUCAAUAAAUACUAAUUCUUUUAUUGAAGUACUUUUUAAAACUGGUUUAAUCUUCACAGUGCCUCCCCAGACGCUGGCACAACAAAGAGUGUGUUGCCAUGGGAAGAAGUGCUAUAAUGAGGAAUAUUUGAGCACUGAUAGCUGGAAAUGCAUGUAAUGCUGGAUCUCUUGGCAGUUUCUGUGUUAAUGGUUACAUCACUGAGGUGCCAGAGAGGAGCAUUCAUUUAUUCACAGCAACACAGCAAAUAUUCCAGAGUUUUCUAUCACGGGAGCAUACCUCAUGACUUGUAGCUGUGGAAUCAACAUGUCCUGCAUCUUCUUAACUCCUGCUGUGCUUCUGACACACCUGCUGCCAUGGCCUAUGGGUGCCUGCUGGGCCAGAGGCAGCCACGUACCUGCAUCGGUGCUGCUGU